UUCUAAACUUUAAAUCACAAUGGCGUCCAAAAGAAAAAAUUCCACCGGCCCAAAAAAACCAGCAAAGAAGAGGGCAUCAAAGACCCCAAAGAAAGUUGCCAAACCCAGAUCGAAAGCUGUUAAAACCAAGGCUCCUAGACUCAAUAGGAGCCAAAAAAUAACACUACAAGGGACCUUAACUAAUAAAAGCCUGACUCUAACUGAGUGGAAAACAAGCAAAAGAUCUCUCAAAAUUCCCCUUAAAUAGCCCCGACGAUUAUCCCAAGCCAUCUGCUAUGACCAAAACCAUUAGAAAUCCGUCAAAAGACUUAUCCUAAUCAACAGCAAAGAGAAUAUUUUUAUAUCGUGCUCGAAACAUUUCAUGUAAAAUACUGAUAAUCCUUUUUGUACAUGUACAUUUUAUCCAAUUUUAUUAGUAGAAACAAACCUUUUUAUAUCACUUUGAAAUAUUAUGAGAUUUUAGUGAAAAAGUAAUAAAGAAUAAUUACAAACUUUGCUGAUUGCUGAUAAUCUUAAUAAAACAUACAAAGUGAAUGCUUUGUUUGUGC